AAAGUGGUCUGUGGUGCUGGUAAGGCAGACCACAUUUUUCAAGACUUUCAUGCCAGCCCUAUUGGGGCACACUGUGGCCAGACAAAAACAAAGGAGAGCAUAUCCCGCAGAUUUUACUGGCCUGGGAUGUCAGUUGAUAUCAACAAGUGGGUUUCCCAAUGCGCUGCAUGCCAGGCAGCUACAAUUACAAUAAAAAAGCCAACGGAGUACACCCCAAUAAAGGUCACACAACCAUUUGAGUUGCUGGGGAUGGACCUGGUCGGAAAAUUGUCCACAACUCAUAAUGGACAUCAAUAUAUUUGUGUCAUGAUUGACUACUUUACUAAAUGGCCACAGGCUUACCCUCUCAAGUCAAAGUCAGCAAAGUAGGUUACUUCUUGCAUUGUAAAAUUUGUCCAUUAGUUUGAAGCGCCCAAAAGGAUUCUAACUGACCAGGGCAAAGAAUUUGUCAAUUCUAUCAACAAGACAGUUUGUGAUAUUUUGAACAUCAAAAGGAGCCUCUGCUCACCUUAUCAUCCACAAACUAAUGGUUUGGUCGAGUGGAUGAACGGCACAAUUCAGAGGUGAGUUCUUUGUUUUACUACAUUAAGAUUUUAUACUUUAUACAUUAUAGUCUUCUAUGGAAUAUCAACACUGAAAUGGCAUACAGAGAAAUAUAUAAAUACAAAAAAGAAGAUCCCAGUAACAAAUAUCAUGAUGAUUAUGUCAUAAAUAUAAUGUUUUGAAAUUGUCUUCAUUCUUAGAGCCCUGAGCAAACUGGUGGGUCAGCAUCCAGAUACUUGGGACGAUUAUCUGGAUGCUGUAAUGUUCGGUCUCAGAACAAAAAAACAACAACAACAUUUUCGCCCUAUUAUCUGAUGUUCGGCAGAGAGGCUCGAUAUUCAUCAGAAGUCCCUGAGCAUUACAUGGUUGGUUUCUCAUAUAUUUUCAUUUUUCAAUCCUUUUUUGAUUUAUAUCGCUCUAGAUGU